rnacentral:misc_RNA from 1 species
UUUCCGUAGGUGAACCUGCGGAAGGAUCAUUAUUGUAUAACCGAGGUGCCAGGGCUGUCGCUGUCCCGAAGCGUCGUGCACCCCCGAGUGCCCUCCCACACAUCCAUCUCCCCCCUAAGUUCACCACCGCGUGUGUGCCCCUUUGGCUUGUUCGGAGGGGGGCUUACGUUUUCACACAAACUUUGUAUGCAGUGUAGAAUGUAUUUUUUGUUUUUGCGAACACGCAAUCAAUACAACUUUCAACAACGGAUCUCUUGGCUCUC